rnacentral:rRNA from 1 species
UGAAAUAACCCAUUAAAGCACAGAAAAGCAGAGACUACCUCUCGUACCUUUUGCAUCAUGAUUCAGCAAGUUAACUCAAGCAAAGAGCACUCUAGUUUGCACCCCCGAAACUUGACGAGCUACUCCGAGACAGCCAUCUAUGGGCCAACCCGUCUCUGUGGCAAAAGAGUGGGAAGAUCUCCGAGUAGAGGCAAAAAACCUACCGAGUCAAGUUAUAGCUGGUUGCCCAAUAAAUGAAUACAAGUUCAGCCCUGCCUAGCCCAACUCACACCAGUUUUACGAAAAAAGACAAAGAGCUAACCCGCAGGAGUUAAUCAGAGGAGGUACAGCUCCCCUGAUACAGGAUACAACCUUCUUAGGAGACAAAAGAAUACUGCCAAGCAAGGCCUUAGGUCUCAGUGGGCCUGAAAGCAGCCAUCUGACCUGAAAGCGUUAAAGCUCCGACCAAAAGUAAAGCCUUUUAUUUAAUCUAAAUUUCUGCUCCCCUAAAUCUCAUUGGGCCUCUCCAUGCACUCAUGGAAGAGACUAUGCUGGAACGAGUAACAAGAAGAAUGAACUUCUCCACGCACAAGUGUAUGUCAAAUUGGACUAACCAUCGACAAUCAACGAACCCAACAAAAGAGGGCCCUACACACCCGCCACCUCUGACCAAGAAAACCAUGUUCCCCCAAAUCGUUACCCCGACACAGGAGUGCCAGAAAAAGGAAAGACUUAAAGAAAAAAAAGGAACUCGGCAAACCUAGACCUCGCCUGUUUACCAAAAACAUCGCCUCUUGCAUUCCAAAGUAUAAGAGGUCCCACCUGCCCUGUGACUCUAAGUUUAACGGCCGCGGUAUUCUAACCGUGCGAAGGUAGCGCAAUCAAUUGCCUUUUAAAUGAAGGCCUGUAUGAAUGGUAUAACGAGGGUCUAACUGUCUCUUUUUUCUAGUCAGUUAAACUGAUCUGUCCGUGCAGAAGCGGACAUCCUAAUACAAGACGAGAAGACCCUAUGGAGCUUUAGACACUAGCCAACUGUGAAUAAGCGACUAAACUACACAAGUCUUAAAUACCCACAACCCCUGGUGAUGUAGUCUUAGGUUGGGGCGACCACGGGAGAAAGCAAAGCUCCCAAGCAGACCGGGACAACCCUUAAGCCGAGAGUUGCAACUCUAAGCCGCAAAAAUUUUGACUGAAAUGAUCCGGUUGAAAAACCGAUUAACGAACCAAGUUACCCUAGGGAUAACAGCGCAAUCCCCUCCCAGAGUCCCUAUCGACGAGGGGGUUUACGACCUCGAUGUUGGAUCAGGACAUCCUAAUGGUGCAGCCGCUAUUAA